rnacentral:rRNA from 1 species
GUGGGGAAUAUUGGACAAUGGGCGAAAGCCUGAUCCAGCCAUGCCGCGUGUGUGAAGAAGGUCUUCGGAUUGUAAAGCACUUUAAGUUGGGAGGAAGGGUAGUAACCUAAUACGUUGCUACUUUGACGUUACCGAUAGAAUAAGCACCGGCUAACUUCGUGCCAGCAGCCGCGGUAAUACGAAGGGUGCAAGCGUUAAUCGGAAUUACUGGGCGUAAAGCGCGCGUAGGUGGUUCAGUAAGUUGGAAGUGAAAUCCCCGGGCUCAACCUGGGAACUGCUUUCAAAACUGCUGAGCUAGAGUACGGUAGAGGGUGGUGGAAUUUCCUGUGUAGCGGUGAAAUGCGUAGAUAUAGGAAGGAACACCAGUGGCGAAGGCGACCACCUGGACUGAUACUGACACUGAGGUGCGAAAGCGUGGGGAGCAAACAGGAUUAGAAACCCUGGUAGUCC